UGGUGGGUAGUUUGACUGGGGCGGUCUCCUCCUAAAGAGUAACGGAGGAGCACGAAGGUUGGCUAAUCCUGGUCGGACAUCAGGAGGUUAGUGCAAUGGCAUAAGCCAGCUUGACUGCGAGCGUGACGGCGCGAGCAGGUGCGAAAGCAGGUCAUAGUGAUCCGGUGGUUCUGAAUGGAAGGGCCAUCGCUCAACGGAUAAAAGGUACUCCGGGGAUAACAGGCUGAUACCGCCCAAGAGUUCAUAUCGACGGCGGUGUUUGGCACCUCGAUGUCGGCUCAUCACAUCCUGGGGCUGAAGUAGGUCCCAAGGGUAUGGCUGUUCGCCAUUUAAAGUGGUACGCGAGCUGGGUUUAGAACGUCGUGAGACAGUUCGGUCCCUAUCUGCCGUGGGCGCUGGAGAACUGAGGGGGGCUGCUCCUAGUACGAGAGGACCGGAGUGGACGCAUCACUGGUGUUCGGGUUGUCAUGCCAAUGGCACUGCCCGGUAGCUAAAUGCGGAAGAGAUAAGUGCUGAAAGCAUCUAAGCACGAAACUUGCCCCGAGAUGAGUUCUCCCUGAGACUUAAAGUCUCCUGAAGGAACGUUGAAGACGACGACGUUGAUAGGCCGGGUGUGUAAGCGCAGCGAUGCGUUGAGCUAACCGGUACUAAUGAACCGUG
rnacentral:rRNA from 1 species